GCAAGGGGGGGUGUGGUUUGAUGGAGAAGGAAACAAGAAGAGUUGGAUUUAACUCAAGAUGAAAACACAUAUUGAGAUGGGUCCCCCCGAAGACUUCUAUGGUAUAAGUAACAAAACCUCUAGUGUCCCAAGGAAAUGAAUUUGGGACGUGAGUGUUUGUGGUGCGAUCUUAUUUGUUCUGGGUUUGGGUCAUUUGGGAAGUCAAAUUUCAACUGGGAAUAAGCUGUUGAAGUUAGAGGAGAAACUCUCUGGAAGACCGUGGAUGGCCACCAGAUUCUGUCUGGAGGAAAACAAGGAAUCAGUAUGGCAGACCAGUUCGCAAUAAAAGCAGAGAGGCAGCUGGAAAGCGGACACUCACUGUCGGACCCGCGCUCUCUCGCAGGAUCUGAGCCCGACGUCCGCUGGGUGCCUGGAGGUGCUGCCUCCCUCGGCUCCCGGUGGCGGACUCUUCCAGAUGCUUUCUAAACAAUGACUCAA